UACAGAGGUCCCAAGCGUUGUUCGGAUUUACUGGGCGUAAAGGGUGCGUAGGUGGUCGGGUAAGUCUCAUGUGAAAUCCCGCAGCUUAACUGCGGAACGGCAUGGGAUACUAUUCGGCUCGAGGAUUGGAGGGGGGACUGGAAUUCCCGGUGUAGCAGUGAAAUGCGUAGAUAUCUGGAGGAACACCGGUGGCGAAGGCGGCAUCCUGGACCAUAACUGACACUGAUAAGCGAAAGCCAGGGGAGCAAACGGG
rnacentral:rRNA from 1 species